UAUUUUAGAUUUUAUAAAAAGUUUAGCCAGAUGUUGUGGUGCACCUGUAGUCCCAUCUACACAGGAGGCUGAGGCAAGAGGAUCAAUUAAACCCAAGAGGUCGAGACCAGCCUGAGAAACGUGAGAUCCUGUCUCAAACAAAUAGUUUACUGUAAAACAUCACGUGGUAUCUUACUGAGUCUCUUGAUUGCAUCAAGAGGCUGAAUCCAGUGAUUGACCUGUACCAUUGAAGUUUGUAAAGAAAACCUGGGCCUGCCACACCGAGUUUAUGGACAGUUCCACAGCUAUGAACCAGCGCAUCUGUAGAGGAAUGGAAGAGAACAAGGAAAGGCCUAAACGGCAGAGGCAGAACAACUUUCCCAUGUUUCCCUCUCCCAAAGCUUGGAACUUCAGAGGGCGGAAACGGAAGCAGAGCGCCCAAGAUGAAGACGCUGUUAGCCUUUGCAGCCUCGACAUAAAUGUAAGUCCUUUCUGCUUCCAAUGUCCCUUCUCUGAUCAUU
rnacentral:lncRNA from 1 species